GUGAGUCAUCGAGUCUUUGAACGCAUAUUGCGCUCUCUGGUAUUCCGGAGAGCAUGCUUGUUUGAGUAUCAGUAAACACCUCAAAUCCCUCUACUUGUUGGAGGAAUCUGGACUUGAGCAAUCCCAACUUUUCAAAAGAGAAGGCGGGUUGCUUGAAUGCAGGUGCAGCUAGAUUCUUUCUUCUGAGCUAUAAGCAUACUUAUUUAAUCCCGUCAAACGGAUUACUACUUUUGCUGCGCUAACAUAAAGGUUGAAGAGUCGCUAUGGCUGACUGAGGCAGGAUUUAACAUGUCGCGCAAGCGAUCUGUAAACUCGAUCUCAAAUCAAGCAAGACUACCCGCUGAACUUAA
rnacentral:rRNA from 1 species